ACGAACGCUGGCGGCAUGCCUAACACAUGCAAGUCGAACGAGACCUUCGGGUCUAGUGGCGCACGGGUGCGUAACGCGUGGGAACCUGCCCUUAGGUUCGGAAUAACUCCCCGAAAGGGGUGCUAAUACCGGAUAAUGUCUUCGGACCAAAGAUUUAUCGCCUUUGGAUGGGCCCGCGUUGGAUUAGCUAGUUGGUAGGGUAAAAGCCUACCAAGGCGACGAUCCAUAGCUGGUCUGAGAGGAUGAUCAGCCACACUGGGACUGAGACACGGCCCAGACUCCUACGGGAGGCAGGAGUGGGGAAUAUUGGAAAAUGGGCGAAAGCCUGAUACAGCAAUGCCGGGUGAGUGAUGAAGGGCUUAGGGUUGUAAAGCUCUUUUACCCGGGAUGAUAAUGACAGUACCGGGAGAAUAAGCUCCGGCUAACUCCGUG
rnacentral:rRNA from 1 species